UACGGGGGGGGCAAGCGUUGUUCGGAAUUACUGGGCGUAAAGGGCUCGUAGGUGGCCAACUAAGUCAGACGUGAAAUCCCUCGGCUUAACCGGGGAACUGCGUCUGAUACUGGAUGGCUUGAGUUUGGGAGAGGGACGCGGAAUUCCAGGUGUAGCGGUGAAAUGCGUAGAUAUCUGGAGGAACACCGGUGGCGAAGGCGGCGUCCUGGACCAUCACUGACACUGAUGAGCGAAAGCCAGGGGAGCAAACGGG
rnacentral:rRNA from 1 species